GACCCCGACUUCAGAGGAUCAUGUUCCGACUGCAGAGGAUCUGAUUCCCUCAGCUCAGGGCCUCAGGUUAUGUCUGUUUCUUGAACCCUCUCCGGCUUUCCCUUCUCUCGGACUCUCUCGUCCUUGCUCUUCCUUCCCUGGCGGCGACGACUGGGCGAGCGGCGGCGACAUUUGUCACUUCUUCGCCCAGCCCUUUGCCGGCGACGAGCAUCCACCAGAUUCACCAUGAGUAAUGCCAGCACUGGAUUGCUGAAAGGCUUGAGGAUGGUCUUGCAACAGCAAAAGAUUUCAGCUGUUUUCUGCAGACAAUCUCAAGCUUGGAGUUCUACUGUCUCUUUUUCUGACCUUGAUGAGAAGGGUGAUAUGGACUUUGACGAUGAUUAUACAGAUUCAAAGAGAGAGCUACAGCCCCAGAGCGUAGAUCCCAAAAAGGGCUGGGGAUCCCGCGGCGUCCACAGGGCCAUCAUCUGCGGCAAAGUUGGACAAGUGCCUGUGCAAAAAAUUUUAAGGAAUGGGCGUACAGUAACCGUUUUUACCGUUGGAACUGGUGGCAUGUUUGACCAGAGGGUAAUUGGGCCCGAGGAUUUACCGAAGCCAGCUCAGUGGCAUCGAAUAGCUGUUCAUAAUGACCACCUAGGUGCUUAUGCUGUUCAGAAGCUGGUGAAGAAUUCUGCAGUCUAUGUUGAGGGUGAUAUUGAAACGAGGGUCUACAAUGACAGCAUUAAUGAUCAAGUCAGAAACAUACCUGAGAUAUGUGUACGACGUGAUGGCAAGAUUCGUCUGAUUAAAUCUGGGGACAGUGCUGCUAGCAUAUCAUUAGAUGAGCUCAGACAAGGGCUGUUCUAGUUAUAGUUAAGGAUGUCAGUGCAAGCAGAUCAUGAGGUUGCUUCUUGCUUGAGUCCUCUUUCAGGCCACAGCAAGCACACCUCAUCGAUUCAAUGUCCAUCUUCAGUGCUCAUGAAAGCAAGGUGCGUGAGGCAGCAUUAGUGUAGAAAUAGAGCCGGAAAGCAAUAACAAGGAGGGAGAGGGAGAUAAUAGAUACCAGCAGGGGAACAAUUGGGGCCUCAGCUCUCAGGACUAGGUUGCUACUUGUAUGGAAAAAUUGGACAGCUUGUCUUUUCCUCUGGAUUGUAUUGCUUAGCUCUGAUUGAUGAUUGAAAUUUCGGGAUUUGCCCAGGCCCAUUGUAUCUUGGGCAGUGCACUAGCUGGUGAAGGCCUACGAUCUGCGUCGAUGGCUGCUGGUUCACAUGGCCGUAACUGUGAUGAAGGUACGAAUAGCAGCACAAGCCUGUACUCGAUUGGAAAAUGCAGUAAAACUUUGGGUUCCCGCCUCCCGCCUCCAUUUCUUUUGAUUGUACUUCUUCCUCCAUGUUUUCAGCGCCUAAACAAUGAUCUAUGAAGCGACCUUUUUUUUUUCGUUGAAGCAAUCACAGAUGGUUUAUGGUUUUUUAUACCUGAAAAACUAUUGACUAGGGUCUCAUAUACUUGACAUGUUGGUCCCAAAGUCCUAAUAGCCAGCAUUCUCAGGUUGCCCGUUAGAAUUUCCAA